AUUCCGAACACGCCAACUUUUCUUCGAGAAAAACGGGAAUUGGGAAAAAACAUCGACCGCAUUUUUCUAUCGUAGUUUAGUCGAACAAGAAUCACGUCUUACUUGGUUGAAUAAUUGAUGAAUCAACUAUAGGCCAAACACCAUUUUUAUAAUCUAAUGAUUAACAUAAAAUAUAAAUAAAGUGACUACUGUUGGAUGUCAAGACUAUUAAGAACACACCAUGCGUUUAUCUGCUAUUUUAAAUACCAAUCCUAAUAAUGAGUACUAAUUUGAUUAUUUAUUGGUGCUUCAAGUGUUUAAGGGAAUAUGGAAUCGCUUAACUACGAUGUUAAAAUUAGCCUCCAUGGUCACCAAGUCCCACUCAACGUGAUUUUCACCUUUGGAAAUUCAUCUAUUAUCGUUUGAAUGUACUUCCGCUGAGAUUCCGUGAUCAGCUGUUCCAACUGAAGACACUGAGAUCAACAAAUUCAAGUCCAUUCCAAGCUAGGUGCGUUCCAUAUUAACAGAGAUUGAAACGAUUAAAUCAAUAGCUAGAGCAACCCUCUGGGAUAGAUCUACGACCAAAUAACAGAUGUAGUCAGAUGGGUGCAAAAACUACCAGAAUUUAGGCAAGUAGACCUCCGAAGAACUGGAUCAAAUCAUGGACAUCGACAACUCAAGACGGAGACUCCAAAUAAUACAGAACACUAACAUAAAUAGAAGAAUAAGAUUAUGGUUAACGUUUAGGAAAAACUUGGCUGUACACUUGAUAUGCCCCCGAUAAAACUGUUUUAGUUGCUAUUCAAAAUAUAUCUACUUCCGUUUAAAUUAAUAAUUGAAUCGAUUCGAAGGAUAGAUGUUUGAGUUGUUGACAUCGACAUAAAAACAAAUUCAAUAAAUAAUUUUUGUGUCUCACAAAUCCCUUGUUUCUCAACGUUUCUCUACCAAUUUCCAUUCCAUGAUUUAUUUAGUUCCACUCGCUAUAAUUCGGAGAUUUAGUGAUACUUUCGAUGAGAAAAUUCUGCUCAAUAAACUUGAAUGAAUAAUAAAGAAUCCAUAUUAUCAUAAAAAAUACAAAUGGCACCAUCGAUGUAAUUAAUCUAACACUCAAUAUUCCAUGCUGUCUGUAUAAAGUUGUUGUUUUCGUAUAAAAAGCACUUUGUGAUGGUACAAGUCAGUGGUAAUCGUGUUUUUAUAUCUUUGUAUCGAAUGCGAACUAUUGAAAAGGAAAUAUGUUAAAUUCAGAGUGCAUCACUUCUGGAAUCGAACUUGAUUGACUAUUCAUAUAGACUAGAAUUUUAGGAAAUUGUGGAAAGGUUAUUAGAGAGGUGACCGGACACUCGAUGAUGACACGUACUCUACGAGACAUGUCCUGAAAUUAAACACCAAUCCAAAACGGAUUCACACAAUUUUCACCUUGAUGGGAUGGGAUGGACUCUAGUAUUUUGAUCAAAUUACUUGUUGUAGCUCCAUUGGACUUAUGCCGUGUUCUCCAAAGUGAAUUUUCGACUUUCUAAAAGAUAAAGAAGUCACUGCAAACCAAAUUUGGUUAAUACGUUAGUUAAGUCACAAUAUACGUUUCAUGUUUGGUCAAAAAAUUGUUGACAAUCAUGUUGUUCAUUACCAUGAAUCAUAGCCGAAUAAAAACGAUCGAGUAGUACCGUUCGACCCUCUGGAAUGAAUUCAUGGUACCACUAGAGUCGAAGAAGACGAUUAUCAUCAAGUUUUAUAUACAUACGUCUCGUUAUUAAUGAUGAUGUAUCUUUCCAGACUUUAAAUUUGACAAGCUUUAUAUCCAAAACAGCUUCUAAUUCUCUAGAAGACCUAGAUACUUCCAGUAUCCAAGAGUAUUGUUUCCACAGGCUCCAAAGCAUAUCCUUAGGAUGUUAUACUCAUUACAGAAGAGAGCAAUUUGACUUGUAGGUGACCCAGAGUUAACCAGAAGCGGCUUCCAGCAUAAUCCCAUCUAGAGUAGACCUACUCGAUAGGUAGACGUGGCUCAUGAAGACCAAGAUCACCUGCAAACUCUCAGAACAAGCCUGUGGAAUCAGCUACCUGAACACUACUACUACUAUAUUAUUCUCGUUAAUUUAGUCAUUCCAAAGUGGUAGUUAUCAAUUCCUGCAGCUUCAGGUAAAUGCCAAUAAAUAAAUAAUUGAUGAAGCAAAAGCAAAUGACAGUGAUUGACGCAAGCAAGCUGAUAUCAAUACUAACUAUAUUAAUGAAGAAAUAACUGAUGUAUUAUUUUUUCUUGGAAAAAAGUAUAUAUAUUCUGCAAGGAGAAAGUAGAGAUGAAGAAAUAGUAUAAAAACUUCAUUGACUCAAUCAAUACGAUAGAAUAUGUUCAAAUUUACUCCAACUUCAAAGAAUGGCUUCAAUUAUAGUGUUUUUAGGGCAAGGAGAACCAGAUGGCAGAUAAAAAUCCAUAUUCCGCAGAGCUGUCUGUAUGGAAGGUUCGAUAAAAUUGCAAAUCCGCUGAAAUGAAUUAUAAUUUUUGGUUGAUCCAUCUAAAUGUUGAUUCCAAACAACAUUUUGACAUAUUUGUCACAUUUUAGAGAAGAGAAAAAUCUCGCAAAACUUAUUUAUACAUUCAGUUGAUAAAUAAUUUCCCUUUCAACGAUUUUGGACCCGUUUACUGAACGUCGUUAUAUCAAACUACGUGGGAGUUUACUCAAAACUUCAACUCCCUGAGAAAUCGUUGUAAUAUACCGAUGGAUAUCGUAGAUUGUGCUCCGUUUCUACAUAAUUACGUUCAUUAUAUUUUAUUUACCCAAGGGAACCAUUUCAAGAUGCCGACACCUGCUACCCUAAGAGGAUCUUUCAUUCUAUUCUAGUAGCUGCGAUAAGAUUCUUACCAUAAUGGUUCAAUCCUUUUUUAUUUAAACUUGCAGCUUAUGAAAGUAGUACUUGCAUACGACAAAGAUGAUUAUUUAUAAAAACAAUGAAUUCGAAAUACAGGUUCAUCCCAUUGAAAAUACUUUCCAUUACAACUUAUCAUUCCUGCCCCAACGAAGCAGCUUCCACUUGUUGAAACAGUUAUAUACUUAUCUGUAGAAAUUACUGACGGCUUCUCUCAUGUCUUUCGAGACCAGGUGGGGCAAUUAGGUGCGUAAAAUUGCCAAAAAGUCAGUCGAACAUCUACAAUUGUUAUAAUAGAAUAACCUGUGUCCUAUAUGCUAAGAAUCUGAUGAAAAUUCUCUUCAAAUUUGAUCGACACUCCAAAGUGUGAAAACAAAUCUUCUUUAACUACGCCUUUGGCAUUGAAUUGAUAAUAAUUUGAGCUGACUAACACGUAAUUUGUAGUACAAAUCUCCUCAGAAAACUCUUCUGAAAAUGACCUAUUUGGUCUUGUUGUUGAAUAUUUUUAUGAUUCAUAGAAAAUUUAUUAGUCUUGCAAAACCAACACUAAAUUUUCUGCAGCGCUGCAUAAUAUUCCUCACCUUUUUGAACAAUUAACAAUGCGGAAGUUAAUUAAACGUUUUCCAAGGGUUAUAUCCAAUAAAAAAUGCAAAACAGAGUCUUUUUAUGGUAGUAGUAGUUUUAUUAUAUGGCUUAUCUUAUUUCAUAUUUCAUAAAUUAAAUUGACUGAAGCAACUGAAAAUUGUUCAGUCCAGGAGUUCGAAUACCUGGGAGUGACAGUGACAAAUGAAGGACGUCAAGCCAGGUAAAUCGACACGUGAAACCCUAGGAAAACUAUUUAGAUCAAAAGAUGUUUCAAGAGCUGCCAAAUUCAUAAAACAGUCAUACAACCAUCGGUCAGUACUUCAUCAUCAACAAAAAAAUUAUUUAUUCAAUUGCUUCAAAUUAUUUACAGACGAAAAUUUAUGUGAAAAUGUUGAUGACGAUGUUGAGAAAUCUAAGAUUUAUAUGACAAGGAAAAUCGACCGCCAGUAGAGAAAGUUCUUCGUGGUUCCAGUUGACAACGAUUACCUUGAACUGAGUCGGAACUCAUUAAGGAAACUAUUGAAGAAAAUAGGAAAAAAACAUUCCAGAAAUUCUAUUUUCAUAGAGAGCAAUGAAAAACUUCAUUCAUCGUAAACUAUUUUGGAAUAUUCUCAAUAUACAAACAGUUUUCACAAGAUUUCUUAAUUAGUUUUUCAUUGGGCACUGCAUCUGAAGAUGUAGCAGUCUCUUCAAGAAUUCUGAUAACGAAGGCUUCACAUCAAUGGAAAGGUUUAUUCUUCCAUCAAUUUUGAUUCAAAUUUGCUGAGAAAAAUAUUUCUUGGGUCAGGAGCUUCUGAUGGUGUUCAUUAUAUGAUAGAAAUUACCUCGGGCUAUCUUGUUAUUGUUUCAGCCUAGUAACCAGAGUAUAUUUUGGAAUCAAAACUCUUUUUGGAAACCGAGCUGGGUACUUCCUAUAGCCUACGAAAACUCUUGAGGACAGGAAUGUCAUUUUUGUUGCUAAGUAACUUGAUUUUCUACAUAUCAAUUUACAAGUUCACGAAAAACAAACACGUUCGAUUUCCCAUCAACGCUCCAUGCCCCGGAUCCGUACCAAGGGCAUUCUAGGUGCCAUCAGCAGUCAACGUGUUAAGUAAAUAAUUAAAUGAGAUAACUAAAAUUUCAUUAGUUCACUGGUAUAUAUUUUUAAAAAUAAUGUUUUCAUCUCCGAAACGUUUAUGACGAAAUCAAAAAUUUCCCGUUGACGGUUCUAUUAAAAGUGUCAUAAAAACUUUAUCACUUUUAUAAAGAUAAUUUAUUUUGGUUUUUUAUUAUAUGUGAUAGGAAACACAUGAUAUUUUUAUAACUUCAUUACAUUUCAGUUUUAUAGCAGGUAUUAAAUUCAGUAACGUUUACUGGUGAUGCCGCCAACGUCGAAUAUUGAGUUUCAGAUCAAUUCUAUUGAAUGAUGAUGCAGUUUUUUUCUCAUGAACAUAUAAACUUUAAUCACCAUACAGGAUGUCUCGAAACUAGUUAAAUAAAUAAAACUAGAUACUGUAUACCGUUUUCGGAAUAUUUUGAUUCGAAAAUUAUGAAGUAAUAACCAAUUAAACAGAAGAAAAUUUAAAGAAAGGGUAAUAACAUAAUAAAAAUUCAAAUAAAGUUCUCUGUUUUCACAAAAGUUUAUCCUUUUUUUCUAAAGAAUCCAUUAAUCUUCUAAACGGUUGAGAAUCAGCUAGGAGGUCGUUAAAGUCUUUCAAUUCUUGAGGUUAAUUCACUUCUGUACCAUAAACUUUCAAUUUAAGAUACGAACAAACUGUGUAAUCAAAGGGAUUUAAAUCUGAUGAUCGAGGAGGCUAAUGAAUCGGAGCUUCCAUACCUCUACCAAUCCAUCGAUUCGGAAAAUCAUCUAAUAAGUGAUAAUACAUUUUAAAAAUUUUGGAUUGUAAUGUUUGAUAAAAAUCCACUCCAACCGGUAGAUCGUCUGGCAAGAGCUCUUAGACUUGUUUGUAAUGUUUUUCAAGUAUUUGAAGAAGUUAUUGGAAGCUUUAGUAUAAUAGUAUGAUUAUAAAUAGUUGUUUGUUUUAUACUGAGGUCUCCAAUAACUCAGUGCCCAUACUUUGAAAAAACAAGAUCCUGUGCUGAUUAGAUUGGAUUUCUGUGAAACGUUACAAGAAACGAAAGCUCUAAGUCCCCAAUUCUCGCGAUGGAAAAUCUUCAAUUCACAUAAUGCUUACUAAUUAAUGAUAAUAAUAAUCAAUAACUUCACCAUUUUGAUGUCAAAUUUCGCUUACUAAAUCUAAUAUUGAAAAAGUUAUAUACCACUUGGUUAGUUGAACAGUUAGCGCCCUCUAUGAGAAUCAGACGUAAAAGCAAAUUUUUUGGAUGUAUCAGCUUCCAAAACAUUCUUUUUCUUCAAAGCUUUUUGUCUUGAAUACAGAGAAUUUUUUACUGAGCAAAUCCCAAGUAUUUUCAAGCUUUCUAUCUUAAAGACGGAAUCAUCUUUUUUAAAACACCCUGUAGUUUCAUGGAAAUCUACAAUGGUGUAGAGUGACUCAUAGAAACUUUUUAUGUUUAAGUUUUAUGAUCAAGUUCAAUACAGAAUAUAGUAAACAAUUUUUUUGUAAAAUGAGUAACAAGAUUUGUAGGACGAAUUUUUUUCUAUGUCGUUUUUCAAUUGAAUAUAAAUUGUACAACUAAUCAAUUUAUAUGAUAGAAACACUACAAUAUUGUUUAACAAUCAUCUUUUAUGUCAUAUUAUCAUUAUUUCGUGAAAUAUUAACGAAAAUGUAAUUGGGUCAUGAGUGCAAAUGCAACACGAAUCUGCAUAGAGAACCCGCAUUUCCAAACUCUGAACUACAGUUCCCGGAUAAUUGAUCAUGCAUCAAAUAAGAGCAGACUUUUUCAUUAGAGCUUUCCAGUAUCAUCAGUGCUUCUGUUAUAUUGUAUAAUGAGAAUUGAAUAGAUUGUUAAUUAAAAAUGGACACUGUCAACAAAAGGAAUAACGGAUGUUGAUAAAUACAGUUACUAUACAAGAUGUGAACGAAAACUUGUUUUCGUCCUGGAUAUUUUUACAAAUGCAAUUAUUACGACUUUAUCCAUUCAACAACUUUGUUUGAAUUUUUAUGUUUUCUGUAAAUAGGAGCUUAAUUUUCCAGAAAUUGUUGCUAUUAUUGAAUAUUAGUUAAAUAAUAAUAAGCCUGUUCUUGUCAAAAACUAUACCACAGUAACCAGCUUCAAUAUAAUCGAUUUAUUUCAUGGAAUUAUUAUGAUCUUGUCCACAUAAACGAUUUUUUCGAAAUAGUACAGUUCAAUGAAUUAAUUUCUGAGAAAGUAUUCGAAUUUUCUAUCGUUUACUUGUUGUUGUUUGUAUUUACAGAACACCAAACACUGACGUGCAUACUUUCUGUCACAAACUACUGAUUUUACUAGAGUCCUUAUCUCUAAAAAGCAAAAUGAGCAGCAGACUUUUGCCUACCUACUCCACGUGCAGUAUUUGUUAAAGGCUCAAUAUUUUACAAUGCAAAAAACGCACAAUCACUUGCCAAUUGAAAUCAAAUCGAUACCAUCUUUUUCGGCGUUCCGAAAUAAUUUGAAAGCAUAUUUACUGGAAAGUUCCUUCUAGUCUGUAAUCGACUUCUCUUCAAAUAAUAAUGUUUAAUUCCGAACACGCUGUAUACUGGUUUAAUUUAUGCUUAUUAUUACCUAUCAAUAUUACUCACAAUUGUGGUUUUAUUCUGUAUAUUGAAGUUUUAUUGUAUUUGUAUCUUCAUUUAGUUAUUUCUAUGUCUGUUUUUUAGUUUUUGCUUGCUUUUGUCAACAAAAUGUAACAAUUUUUUUACAAUAAAGCAUUUCUCUCUA